GACGAGCUCUCCAAACGUUAUUCGGUAUCACUGGGCUUAAAGAGUUCGUAGGCGGCCUAGCAGGUCAGGUGUGAAAUCCCACAGCUCAACUGUGGAAUAGCGCUUGAAACCGUUAGGCUUGAGGGAGAUAGAGGUAGGCGGAACAGAUGGUGGAGCGGUGAAAUGCGUUGACAUCAUCUGGAACACCGGUGGCGAAAGCGGCCUACUGGGUCUUUUCUGACGCUGAGGAACGAAAGCUAGGGUAGCGAACGGG
rnacentral:rRNA from 1 species